rnacentral:lncRNA from 1 species
GAAGUCCUCUUCCUUCAUCCUAAGAAGAGACUGUCUUGUCUCUUCUCCUAGUGCUGACCAGAAAUCCACAAGUGUAUCACAUGAAAGCCUGGCAUUGUGUAGCGCGCAUGUUUCUCUAGUUCCGUGGCCUCUACUAUAACUUGCGAUCCCUUGACUUAUCCAACCCCGACCUCCUCCACCACAAGCAUCCGGAUAGAGGAGCUCCCUUU